CGGGGAGCAGUGUGUGGGGACGGGACUCGGACAGACAAACUUCCGAUUAUGGCUCUGUUUCAUUAUUCACGAUAAUCACAAAUUGUACAAAAUAAACUGACCAUACUAAAGGGAAUUAGGUGCUUACUACAUUCAUCAUAUCAGCUUAUCAGCUCAUGGUUAUGGUGUCACAAACCCAGCGCCAUGUGGAGGAGUAGACACCAGAGGGCGCUGUUACUGAAUUCCUAUUCCGGCACAAACACACGAUUUAAGGGCAGAUUUUGUAUUUGUUAGAAAGCAAAUGACCAAAUGGUCGAAUUAUUUUUUGGUGCACCGUGAAUCAGUGUCUUAACAGGAAAACUAGAGACAUACAGAGGUCGAACAAUGGAAUAAAAAGAGAAAGAAAUCAGAGGUAUUUGUUCAUGUCAUAAGUGAAAGCAAAAGUUUAGUAUCUAGCAGGGAGUUCCUGGUCUUGACAAAAGAAGACGAUAAAUAUUUGUUUUGUGCUUGACAGUGGACAUAAUAAGAUACUACAGAAAAAAGAAACUGACCUGGUUUGGCAUUUUGUGACUUGUAGGUCAUGAGUGACAUUACCAAAGAGAUUAAGUGCCUUCGCUGUUUGAAGUCUGAUGUCAGGAGGGUCGAAGGUCAUCGGACCGUUUGUCUGCCAUGCUCUGCGGACCUGCGGCGGGUGUUCCAGUUCUGUUGGGCGUGUGAGAGAGAGUGGCCUAAAAACCGCUUGGGUCCCACCUGUCAGCUCAAAGACUGUGAGAAACUGGCCGCCCUGCUGUCCAAAGAGGUCAUCACCGACCGCUGCAGCAGCGCAAGGGGCUGCCCCUUCUUCAGGGCGUGUCCCACCUGCUCCGCCCUGCUCACCCAUAAUGGUGAAGGCUGCCCCAGGAUCGUCUGCCCAAACUGCAGAAGCCCAUUCUGCUUCCGGUGCCUCCAGAGAAGCUGUCUAGGAUUCAGGGGGCAAUGUUGCAUUGUGGUCAACAGACUGUCUGUGCAUAACACUCAAUAGGAGCAGUCGUGGCCCCGUAAUCAGAAGGUUGCCGGUUCGAAUCCCGAUCUGCCGAGGUGCCACUGAGGAGCCACUGAGCAAAGUACUGAGCAAAGUCUCUUUCUCCUUUUUCUUCUUUUUGAUGUUUGAAUCUCUGCUUUCAACCUGGAUUUGAUCUCCCAGGAUGAAUUGUGAACAAUUGUAAUUUUCGCCCAGUCUUACAAUGUGGUUCAGCAGUGUAUACUGGAAAAGUCUUGUGAGAAAUAAAAAUUAUUUUGGCAGUCCUAAUCCA
rnacentral:lncRNA from 1 species